GCUCUGUGUGUGUGCAUGCGUGUGUGUGUGUGUGUGUGUGUCCAUCCAUGUACGAGUGCUCUGGUGGUGUGUUGGUGGAGAUAUGAAUGGGUGCAGAGGGGCGAGCACUCACGCACACAUUCCGCAGCAGCAGUGAGAUGAGCAGUGCAACCUCCUCCUCUGCACGUCUUCACUGAGAGGAGAAAAGGAGCUAAACUCAUCCGAAGGACAUCAUCCGUGUAAACACUCCAUCAGUGCAGAAUUUCUCCGGGGGAAACAGUCUUCUCAUCGGCCAUGGAGCAGAAGGUGAAUGAGUGUCCCACCACAACAUCUCCCCAAAAGCACAUGAAGAACAGGUCCAAAUCCACAGAGGAAAUGCAGCAGACGAAGAAAGCCUUUUUGUCACAAAAAUCGCUCCCUGGAAGACCAGAGCUGGACAAGGUGAAGGAGUGUCCUGAUGACUCUGAGACAUCCACAUCCUCCACAGAGGAGCUAAAGUCAUAAAAGGGGAUGAAAUAUCCAGCUCCCACAUCGCCAUAGUAACAUCAAGAAUUAACAGCUCUCCGCGGGAUACAGGGGGAAAAAUGAGACUGUAGUGAAGUAGACUAUAAAGUGUACAAGAAGCGGCGUUAUGAUCAGAUGAGAAAAAAAUCUGCAUUAAAAAGUGACAAAUUAAAUAAAGUCUCACAGUCGACCACAUGUGAACAAGAGUCUUGGUAAUAAUGGCAUAUUGUGCUGUGUUUUGUCCGUUGUACCAAACUGAAUGUGUACUGACAAUAAAAUGAUGAUGAAUACCAUC